rnacentral:rRNA from 1 species
GAUGAACGCUGGCGGCGUGCCUAAUACAUGCAAGUCGAGCGAACAGACGAGGAGCUUGCUCCUCUGACGUUAGCGGCGGACGGGUGAGUAACGCGUGGAUAACCUACCUAUAAGACUGGGAUAACUUCGGGAGACCGGAGCUAAUACCGGAUAAUAUAUUGAACCGCAUGGUUCAAUAGUGAAAGACGGUUUUGCUGUCACUUAUAGAUGGAUCCGCGCCGCAUUAGCUAGUUGGUAAGGUAACGGCUUACCAAGGCAACGAUGCGUAGCCGACCUGAGAGGGUGAUCGGCCACACUGGAACUGAGACACGGUCCAGACUCCUACGGGAGGCAGCAGUAGGGAAUCUUCCGCAAUGGGCGAAAGCCUGACGGAGCAACGCCGCGUGAGUGAUGAAGGUCUUCGGAUCGUAAAACUCUGUUAUUAGGGAAGAACAAAUGUGUAAGUAACUAUGCACGUCUUGACGGUACCUAAUCAGAAAGCCACGGCUAACUACGUG